GAUGAAGAACGCAGCGAAAUGCGAUACGUAAUGUGAAUUGCAGAAUUCAGUGAAUCAUCGAGUGUUUGAACGCACAUUGCGCCCCCUGGUAUUCCGGGGGGCAUGCCUGUCCGAGCGUCAUUGCUGCCCUCAAGCACGGCUUGUGUGUUGGGCCUCCGUCCUCCUCCCGGGGGACGGGCCCGAAAGGCAGCGGCGGCACCGCGUCCGGUCCUCGAGCGUAUGGGGCUUCGUCACCCGCUCUUGUAGGCCCGGCCGGCGCUUGCCGACACAUCAAUCUUUUUUCCAGGUUGACCUCGGAUCAGGUAGGGAUACCCGCUGAACUUAAGCAUAUCAAUAAGCGGAGGA
rnacentral:misc_RNA from 1 species